GAUGAACGCUGGCGGCGUGCCUAAUACAUGCAAGUCGAGCGAACAGACGAGGAGCUUGCUCCUCUGACGUUAGCGGCGGACGGGUGAGUAACACGUGGAUAACCUACCUAUAAGACUGGGAUAACUUCGGGAAACCGGAGCUAAUACCGGAUAAUAUAUUGAACCGCAUGUUUCAAUAGUGAAAGACGGUUUUGCUGUCACUUAUAGAUGGAUCCGCGCCGCAUUAGCUAGUUGGUAAGGUAACGGCUUACCAAGGCAACGAUGCGUAGCCGACCUGAGAGGGUGAUCGGCCACACUAGAACUGAGACACGGUCCAGACUCCUACGGGAGGCAGCAGUAGGGAAUCUUCCGCAAUGGGCGAAAGCCUGACGGAGCAACGCCGCGUGAGUGAUGAAGGUCUUCGGAUCGUAAAACUCUGUUAUUAGGGAAAAACAAAUGUGUAAGUAACUAUGCACGUCUUGACGGUACCUAAUCAGAAAGCCACGGCUAACUACGUG
rnacentral:rRNA from 1 species